rnacentral:rRNA from 1 species
CCCGCGGUCAGACGGAAAGACCCCGUGCACCUUUACUACAACUUCGCAGUGGCGUUAGUGGCGAUAUGUGUAGGAUAGGCGGGAGGCUUUGAAGCGACGGCGCCAGCUGUCGUGGAGCUACCCUUGAAAUACCGCCCUUAUACGUUCUGAUGUCUAACCGCGGCCCGUUAUCCGGGUCCGGGACCCUGCAUGGUGGGUAGUUUGACUGGGGCGGUCGCCUCCUAAAGAGUAACGGAGGCGCGCGAAGGUGGGCUCAGAGCGGUCGGAAAUCGCUCGUUGAGUGCAAUGGCAUAAGCCUGCCUGACUGUGAGACUGACAGGUCGAACAGAGUCGAAAGACGGCCAUAGUGAUCCGGUGGUCCCGAGUGGAAGGGCCAUCGCUCAACGGAUAAAAGGUACUCCGGGG